rnacentral:rRNA from 1 species
GACGAACGCUGGCGGCGUGCUUAACACGUGCAAGUCGAGCGGUAAGGCCCUUUCGGGGGUACACGAGCGGCGAACGGGUGAGUAACACGUGGGUGACCUGCCCUUAGCUCUGGGAUAAGCCUGGGAAACUGGGUCUAAUACCGGAUAUGACUCCAUGACGCAUGUUGUGGGGUGGAAAGCCUUGUGCGGCUAGGGAUGGGCCCGCGGCCUAUCAGCUUGUUGGUGGGGUGAUGGCCUACCAAGGCGACGACGGGUAGCCGGCCUGAGAGGGCGACCGGCCACACUGGGACUGAGACACGGCCCAGACUCCUACGGGAGGCAGCAGUGGGAAUCUUGCGCAAUGGGCGAAAGCCUGACGCAGCGACGCCGCGUGGGGAUGACGGCCU